rnacentral:rRNA from 1 species
UCGGGUCUUCUGUGAGACUUCUAUGUCUUUAUAAACCAGUUAAGCAUGUUUAGAAUGUGUUAUAUUGGGACUUCAUUGACCCUUUAAACUAUACAACUUUCAGCAACGGAUCUCUUGGCUCUCCCAUCGAUGAAGAACGCAGCGAAAUGCGAUAAGUAAUGUGAAUUGCAGAAUUCAGUGAAUCAUCGAAUCUUUGAACGCACCUUGCGCCCUCUGGUAUUCCGGAGGGCAUGCCUGUUUGAGUGUUAUUAAAUUC